rnacentral:tRNA from 1 species
AGCUAUAUAGUUUAAUUAAAACUUUAAUUUUGUAAAUUAAAAAUAAUUUAUUAAUUUAUAGCUU